AAUCAGAGACAAGCUUAAGCUUCUCCGGGCUGCGCCCGACAAGGACGAGGUUGAGUCCCUUCCGGGCGAGCUCAAAGGCGAAACCUUUGCCGAUGCCGUCGGUGGGGCCGGUGAUGAGGGCCCAAGAUCCAUACUUCAUGAGGUUUUUGGAGGGUCUGAGGAAAUUGACGUAGACCCAUUUGAGGAAAAUGAAGGAGAAACGAACGAGGGUGAUGGAACCAAGAGAGAAGAGGAAGAGGACCCAUAAAGGUUGGGUUUUGAGGUUGGAGAAUAUGCACCAUUCCAUUGAAUGUGUGUCAAACAAGAGAAGAGAGUUUCGUCUUAGUUAUAAAGAGAAGAGAAAUGAAGUUUUUUUUUUUUUUUGUUUCCUACGGAUCUUUGCACACCACUAGAGACAAUCUUGUCCGUCGGUAACAUCAGUAUAUUGGGCUAAUUCUUCCAGUAAAAAUUAUUUUUUUUAUUUACAAGACUCGAAUCUAAGAUCUUACUUAAAAAUGAAUCAAGUAUAUACCACUUGAACUGACACCUGUUGCUUAAAUGAAGUAAUUUAUAUUAUGGGAAGAGUUUGGAGCAUUUAUCUUAUCAUUUUUCUAAUUUUUCUUUUGACAUAUUUUGAAUUCAAGCAUGGUGGCAAGACCAACUAAGCUUGUAACUUCCAUGACAGCAGGGGCUGGAGCUCUUGAUUGCAGAAAAGGCUAUAUCUGCUAGAAUCAUAAGAAAUGAAUUAAUCAAAGAAAAAUGUUAAAUACACAUAAGUUGUAUUGACACAUCUUUCAUACAUUAAAGUGUAAGUAUACAAAGAAACAAGGUAAGAUAAUUUGUUAGUUGUUAUCUGAAAUUGAAAGUUAUACAAAACAAAAGUGAAAUAAUUUGAGGCUGCAAUAUUUAAUCAUUAUCAAAAUAUGUUGCAUCUUUGGUCCUUAUCCCCCAAAUAUAAAAUAAAUUCUGAUCUAUGGAAUCUUGAUUAUUCUUUGCCUUAACUCAUUACAAGUUGCAUUGUUAAUCACAUGAGGAAUCAAUGAUUAAGAUAAUGAGUUAUUGAUCUUCUCAAAGAGGGAUUAAUGAAGUGAGAUAGGACUAAUAAUAUUGAGAAAAUCAAAGUUUGGACAAAGUAUAUAAUGUCUAGAAAUGAAGUUUAAGUUCAUUAAUUAAUUAAUUUUUUGUGUGGGAAGGAAAAAGAAUAGGCCAAUCCAUUGAUACAAGGAGGUUUAUUUUGAAAUAUUGCAUAUUUUGUAAAAUAUGAUCAUUGCAACAAUAACAUCAUCAAAUUGCAAGUUUAUAGUCAAAAGCUUAAUAAUUUCUUAAUCAAAUACAACAUUCCAUUCAAUUCAAUUCAUUAGAUUGAUCAUUUCUUAAGUUCAUUUUCCUACUCAACAUUUUCCACUGUAUCAGUUCAACAUCAUAGAACAGUGAACAGAAACAACCAAAAAUAGGGAAGGAAAAGGAAUAGGCCAAUCCAUUGAUACAACUCAUAAGGUCUAACAACAAAAUCAGAAACAUAAAAGCCACUUGAACCUUAAUCUACCAUCAGUAAACUCUUAAUUCAGUCAUCGAAAUGGUGACGGGUCACCAUUUCGAUCCUUCAAAGACUUGUGUCGCGAUAAAAGUCGGUAGAAGUUUUAAGAACUUAACUGGUGACACUUAUUGUGCCACAACAUGGUGGCAUUUAUUCGGGGACACGAAUGUUUAAAGGGCCUAAGUGAUAACAUUGUCAUCUUUGGAAGAUUGAAGUGAUGGUUUACUUAGCUGCAUAAAUAAGCAACAUAUAUGCCUACACAUUAGAAGCAUGCAUCCUUUCAUUCCUUUUUCUUUGAGUCCUUGAGCUGCCCCCUCUUUCGAAUACCGAGGCAAAACCGUAGGCGCCAAGCAUCAACGACAGACUCUGGCAAUGAGUAUGCCAAGGCCCAGAGAAGGGUAUGGGGCCAGUACGGUGUGCAACGAGGUUCAUAGCCUAUCCAUCUCACACCGGCUUUGGCAUAUCCAUCUGUUGAUGGAACAAAGAAUGAUGAUCUCUUUAUUGAUGCCAUCUUUGUUGCUACAUAUAAUGGAACCUGCAUCCCCAAAAUCUCCAUUAGAAAGGCCGAAAAUCAUAGCAAACUUGGCACACGUAAAAGCGAAUCAGUCCAUGUUGUUUGAAAGGGUUUCUAGAGAACUAACUUAAGCUUGUCAACAAUUGAAAUUGAUUAACUCGAACACAUCAAGAGUAACCAAUUGACUAAAACUUGAAUAACAAGGGGGAUCCGAAGAAGAAAAGAGUGUACUUUUACCCCAAAAAAAGAAGAACUGAGUGAGAUGCGUGUAACAUGAUUCAAAAGUAUAACAAGAGCAGAAAUCAAUACCUGACACUGCACGUCAAUCCCACUCUUCUUGUAUUCCACAUAGAGAGAUCUCGAAAAUUGAUCGAUGUACCUGAAGCAACACACAUAAAACCUCAGUUCACCAACUAAAACAACAUAAUACACAUACUUUGAAGCCAAAUAAAAGCACAAAAUAGAACAAAUCUCAAUACAUGUAAGUGGAACACAAACUUUAUACUUGGUUAAAGAAGAACGCUAAUUGUUUAUAUGGAACCAAAAACAUAAAGUUUGUAUUGGAAACUGGUGCAUUCCAUGCAUUAAAAUUUCAAAAGUUAUACUCUGCAAUACAAACUUACUAACUUUAUUUCCUUAACCAAUGCAUUGGUUAGCAUAAUCCUUGGUUAAAUUGUAGGAAAAUAUUGCUAUUUUUUCAAAUACUUCUCAAAUAAACUUUUCAUUGUAACUUUUUUUUAUGUAACAACAACAUAAAGGGGAUCUUAAAGGGAUGAAAGUAACAAGACCAGAUCUAAUUUUGAAACAUAAAACACCACACAUAUUACACAUACUAUGAAGCCAAAUAAAAGCUCAAAACAGAGUAAAAAGAACUUAUUUUCAUAAAUUUCUCUUAUAACCUUAUUUAAUAAGUUAAAAAGAACUUAAAGGAAAGUCAAUAAAUUUUUAUAAGCUUAUAUUCAUAAGGUGUUGUUAUAUAAGGCUAAGUAAAAGUUAUAAGCUCUUCCAAAAGCCACCUAAAUUCUAAGUGCAUGCAAGUGCAACAAAAACUUAGUAUUCAAUUACUUACACCAUGUUUGGUUUUACUCAUUAAAAUUAUAAUUAUAAGUUAUAUAUUAACCACAAAAUAAGCUAAUAAUAAUUGGAAGAAAAUAAAAACAAACACUUACGCUUUAGAUGCAGCAUAAACAGCAUAAAGCGGAUCAGAAGGAAUAACAAUAGCAGCACCAGAACCAAUAUUAACAAUAGCACCUUUCUUCCUUUUAAGCAUACCAUUCAACACAAGUUGAGUAACCUUAGUAGUCCCUUCAAUAUUCACCUUAAUCAAAUUCCUCAAAAUCUCAUCAUCCACUUCAUGGAAGAAUCUAGCAUAAGGGUAAGAAACCCCAACAUUGUUCACCAAUACCCCAACAUCAAUCCCUUCAAUCGCUUCUCUAAUCUUCUCCAUCCCAGAAUCUAGAUCACCUGAGAAAUCGACAACAACCGUGACAACCUUAAUUUUCCCGAACUCGGCGGCGAUUGAAUCAGAGACAAGCUUAAGCUUCUCCGGGCUGCGCCCGACAAGGACGAGGUUGAGUCCCUUCCGGGCGAGCUCAAAGGCGAAACCUUUGCCGAUGCCGUCGGUGGGGCCGGUGAUGAGGGCCCAAGAUCCAUACUUCAUGAGGUUUUUGGAGGGUCUGAGGAAAUUGACGUAGACCCAUUUGAGGAAAAUGAAGGAGAAACGAACGAGGGUGAUGGAACCAAGAGAGAAG
rnacentral:lncRNA from 1 species